rnacentral:rRNA from 1 species
UACGUAGGUGGCAAGCGAUACUCGGAAUCACUAGGCGUAAAGCGCAGGUAGGCGGUUUGGUAAGUCUCUUGUGAAAGCUCCCGGCUCAACUGGGAGAGGUCAAGGGAAACUGCCAGGCUUGAGUGUGGCAGAGGAAGCUGGAAUUCCCGGUGUAGCCGUGAAAUGCGUAGAUAUCGGGAGGAACACCUAUGGCGAAAGCAGGCUUCUGGGCCAUCACUGACGCUGAUCUGCGAAAGCUAGGGGAGCAAACAGG